rnacentral:rRNA from 1 species
AACGAACGCUGGCGGCAUGCCUAACACAUGCAAGUCGAACGAGACCUUCGGGUCUAGUGGCGCACGGGUGCGUAACGCGUGGGAACCUGCCCUUAGGUUCGGAAUAACUCCCCGAAAGGGGUGCUAAUACCGGAUAAUGUCUUCGGACCAAAGAUUUAUCGCCUUUGGAUGGGCCCGCGUUGGAUUAGCUAGUUGGUAGGGUAAAAGCCUACCAAGGCGACGAUCCAUAGCCGGUCUGAGAGGAUGAUCAGCCACACUGGGACUGAGACACGGCCCAGACUCCUACGGGAGGCAGCAGUGGGGAAUAUUGGACAAUGGGCGAAAGCCUGAUCCAGCAAUGCCGCGUGAGUGAUGAAGGCCUUAGGGUUGUAAAGCUCUUUUACCCGGGAUGCUAAUGAAAGUACCGGGAGAAUAAGCCCCGGCUAACUCCGU